GGGCUACAGAGAAGCUUUGGCGCAGGACCCCAUGGCAGAGAAUUGGCUGCACCUUCUUGUGCACCUUCCUAGGGGCUGCCUUUCCUUUUUUGCUAAUGUUUGAUUAUUUUCAAUGAUUUUAGAUUAAAAAGUAAUUUUUUUCAAUUAGGAGUUGCACUUCUUAAUUAUGGAGAUGAAUUAGAUAGCUAUUCAUUAUUAAUUAGAUUUUAACUCCGCACUGAUAGUCCCUUUUAUCCAACCCUAUCUGCUUUCUGCCCAUCCCGCCUGCCUCUGCCCCAAAGCUGCCCCAGCCCUGCAGCAUCCCUUGGCUUUUACAACUGUUUAGAAAAUACACAUCAAUGUUAUCAUCCCGGAGGCUGUCUGGUUCUUUCAAGGGUAAAAAUCCCGACCACAGAUGGUGUCAUUUCAUGGGCUUAAAAACAUUAAUUGAAAGCAUUAAUAUCCUGCCUCCCUCCAUCGGCAGCUGGGGCAGAAACCGUGCCCGAAUUGCGUGCUGAGCUCAAACGAUGACCCUGCUUUUCCCCGCCAGCAGAAGGAACCCGUUCCCUUGUCCCUGCCACCUUCUCUCCGCCACAAGUGGCAAUUUUGUCAUUUGUGUGUGACAGAGAGGGUUUGACCUGCCUCUGCUGUUUCUUGGACUUUGUUUGUUUCUGCUAUUUUUAAAGAAAGCUGUCGGCUUUCUUUUGAGCUGCUUUCUUUGCCAUCUGUCACCUUUCAGACAUUAAUCAAUGCUCAGAGUUUUCUCACUAUUGCUCAUUGUUGUCUCUGUUUCUCUCUUCUACCAUCCUGUCCCUGGGGAAGCUCUCCUGUCUGGUUUCCUGAGAACCCCAAAGCAUGGUCUUUACACUUAGUUAUAAAUAUUUUAUGUAUUUCUUUAAUUUUCACUUGUUCCAAGGUGGGUUUGGAAGUGGUCUUAGGCAUCUCUCUGCAUAUUUGAAGAGAAAACCAAACAGUGGGGACCAGGAAGGUGUCUUCAUCCCUGAAAAGCCCACGUUAUUCCCCCCUCCAGUCGCUCUUCUCUGUGCCACAGGCGUGAGCACCUCGUGUCCCAGAGCCCUUUGGCUGCAGCAAAAUGUCGACGAUCCUGAAAUGGUUUGGACGGGAAGAUAA
rnacentral:lncRNA from 1 species